rnacentral:rRNA from 1 species
GCGCAACCCUUGUCUUCAGUUACCAUCAUUCAGUUGGGGACGUCUGGAGAGACUGCCGGUGACAAACCGGAGGAAGGUGGGGAUGACGUCAAAUCAUCAUGCCCCUUAUGACCUGGGCUACACACGUACUACAAUGGCCAAAUACAAAGAGAUGCGAAGCCGCGAGGUGGAGCGAACCUCAUAAAAAUGGUCUCAGUUCGGAUUGGAGUCUGCAACUCGACUCCAUGAAGUCGGAAUCGCUAGUAAUCGCGGGUCAGCAGACCGCGGUGAAUACGUUCCCGGGUUU